GGCACAGUGGCUUAGUGGUUAGCAUGUUUGCCUCGCAUCUCAGGAGUUGGGGAUUUGAUUCCCGCCUCUGCCU